rnacentral:rRNA from 1 species
UACAGAGGUCCCAAGCGUUGUUCGGAUUCACUGGGCGUAAAGGGUGCGUAGGCGGUCGGAUAAGUCUGAUGUGAAAUCUUCGAGCUCAACUCGGAAACUGCAUCGGAAACUAUUCGGCUGGAGGAUUGGAGGGGAGACUGGAAUUCUCGGUGUAGCAGUGAAAUGCGUAGAUAUCGAGAGGAGCACCAGUGGCGAAGGCGAGUCUCUGGACAAUUCCUGACGCUGAGGCACGAAAGCUAGGGGAGCAAACAGG